GUAGAAACAUGUAAUUUAUAGUAUUACAUAGGCCAGUUCUUAGUUUUUCUACUGAACAUGUGCAUGAUCUAUGGAUGGUCAAGUUAGUAUUACAUUCACUAGUAUCAAAUAACCUCUGUAGAGAGCGAUUUUGCAAAAAAUUGGUGUACCACCACACUGGAGUUUAGAUGUUUGUCAGUUCUUGGAUACAAUAUUUCCAAACUAAUGGAUUUUGGGGAUAUUCUAGCACCAUGAUCAUUAUAUUUACUGGACAUUAUCGUCUGGACUUUUUUUAUGCACAAUGCGAUUUGAUACCAGUACUUAAUAUUGAAACUUUUAAAGUAAGGGUAUCUAAUGUUUUAGUGAUGGUGACUGAUGAGAUGUUGGAGAAAA
rnacentral:lncRNA from 1 species